rfam:Salmo salar isolate Sally breed double haploid chromosome ssa20, whole genome shotgun sequence.
UGCAUUCACUACUGUAAGUCACUCCGGAUAAGAGUGUCUGCUAAAUGACGUAAA